rnacentral:rRNA from 1 species
AAUAGAUACCCUGGUAGUCCUAGCUGUAAACGAUGAGCACUGGGUUGGAGGGGACUUCCACAUCCUCUCGGCCGUAGCGAAAGCGUUAAGUGCUCCGCCUGGGGAGUAUGGCCGCAAGGCUGAAACUCAAAGGAAUUGACGGGGGCUCACACAAGCGGUGGAGGAUGUGGCUUAAUUCGAGGCUACGCGAAGAACCUUAUCCUAGAUUUGACAUGGUUGAGAAUCUCCUUGAAAGAGGAGAGUGCCCUUCGGGAGCUCUUUCACAGGUGCUGCAUGGCUGUCGUCAGCUCGUGUCGUGAGAUGUUGGGUUAAGUCCCUUAACGAGCGAAACCCUUAUCUUUAGUUGCCGAGCGGGUAAAGCCGGGGACUCUAAAGAGACUGCCGGUGUCAAACCGGAGGAAGGUGGGGAUGACGCCAAGUCCUCAUGGCCUUUAUGCCUAGGGCUGCACACGUCCUACAAUGGCACGUACAAAGGGAAGCCAAGCCGCGAGGCCGCGCUAAUCCCAAAAAGCGUGCCCCAGUUCGGAUUGCAGG